GCCCAGUGCUCUGAAUGUCAACGUGAAGAAAUUCAAGCAAGCGCGGGUAAACGGCGGGAGUAACUAUGACUCUCUUAAGGUAGCCAAAUGCCGCGCCGCUGUGGCGGUACG
rfam:Anopheles minimus strain MINIMTS1 unplaced genomic scaffold supercont1.630, whole genome shotgun sequence.